AAAAAAACACCCAUAACAAAUGCAGAGCUUAGCAAUUUAUUUUAAGAUGAACACUUGCAACUACCAUCUAGUUGGAAAUAGAACUUUACCAGCCUCCUGGAAGAGUCUCCAUUUGCCUUGUCCCUGUUGCUAAGGCCACCCCCCUGUCCUGUGUCUCUGGCUCGAGGAGACCAGAUGAGGAGUCUCUCCCCUGGCAGCCUUGGAAGCCUCCUGGGAAACUGGAAUCCAGCACCACCUUGAAAAAAUAAUGACGCGGCUGCAGGGCUGGUGGAUCCAUCGUAACUGAAUUCCCAUCGAGGUGGCAAAAUCUACCCAACAACCUCAGAAUCCUUGUUUUUAUAGGUGCAAUCUUCCAGCAGAGGUAAGAGGAGUGGAGAGUGGGGACACACUGCCUCAUCUGGUUUAUAUGCCCUCUCAAAUUGGAUUUGUUUAUUUCCUGUGAUGAUGGUCUCCAGCCAGAAUUUACCUGGAGGUACACAAGUUGGAUUUGUUACUCAGUGCAGCAAGGGAGAACUCACACCAUGAGGAACCAGGGGUGUCUCCAAGAGAGGGUAUGUGCCAGUUUGGAUGUAUUAUGUCCCCUAAAGUGCCAUUAUCUUUGAUGCAAUCUUGUGUGGGCAGACAUAUUAGUGUUGAUUAGAUUGUAAUU